UGGGCGCAAGCCUGAUCCAGCCAUGCCGCGUGAGUGAAGAAGGCCUUCGGGUUGUAAAGCUCUUUCGGCCGGAACGAAAUCGCACCCGCGAAUAUCGGGUGUGGAUGACGGUACCGGAGUAAGAAGGACCGGCUAACUACGUGCCAGCAGCCGCGGUAAUACGUAGGGUCCAAGCGUUAAUCGGAAUUACUGGGCGUAAAGCGUGUGCAGGCGGUCUCGCAAGUCCGAUGUGAAAUCCCCGGGCUCAACCUGGGAACUGCGUUGGAAACUACGAGGCUAGAGUGCGGCAGAGGGGGGUGGAAUUCCAGGUGUAGCAGUGAAAUGCGUAGAUAUCUGGAGGAACACCGAUGGCGAAGGCAGCCCCCUGGGUCAGCACUGACGCUCAUACACGAAAGCGUGGGGAGCAAACAGGAUUAGAUACCCUGGUAGUCCACGCCCUAAACGAUGGCAACUAGUUGUUGGGGGAUGAACUCCCUUAGUAACGCAGCUAACGCGUGAAGUUGCCCGCCUGGGGAGUAC
rnacentral:rRNA from 1 species